rnacentral:rRNA from 1 species
CAAUAGCGUAUAUUAAAGUUGUUGCAGUUAAAAAGCUCGUAGUUGGAUUUCUGGUUGAAGCGACCGGUCGGGCGUUGAUUCGUCUGCACUGGAGUCGGUUUUGCCAUCCUCUAGGAAAGUGCGUCUGGUAUUAAGUUAUCGGGCGUAUGAUCCUGGUCUUUUACUGUGAAAAAAUUAGAGUGUUUAAAGCAGGCCUUCGCCUUGAAUACAUUAGCAUGGAAUAAUAAGAUAGGACUUUGGUCUAUUUUGUUGGUUUGCAGACCGAAGUAAUGAUUAAUAGGGAUAGUUGGGGGUAUUUAUAUUCCGAUGUCAGAGGUGAAAUUCUUAGAUUUUCGGAAGAUAAACUUAUGCGAAAGCAUUUACCAAGGAUGUUUUCAUUAA